rnacentral:lncRNA from 1 species
AGCAACCCGCUGGGUUGUCUCUUCUGCACUGUGAAAGCGUUGUUUUUUUCACUAUGCGCAAUAAAUUUUCCAACUGGUCAUUCUUUGGGUCCACGCUGUUUUUAUGAGGUAUAACACUCACUGCAAAGGUUUGCAGCUUCACUCCUGAGCUAGCAAGACCACGACCCCACCAGAAAAAAGAAACUGCGGACACAUCUGAACAUCAGAAGGGACAGACUCCACGCCCGCGAACUUUAGAGCUGUGACACUCUCUGUGAGGGUUUGCGGUUUCAUUGUUGAAGUCAGUGAGACCAUAGAACCCACCAAUUUCAGACAACACUUCUGAGCCUCUUAGUGGGAAAUGAAAUCUGUGAUGGGGGGAAGCAUUGGCAGACCUCAGUGAGCUGGAUAAAAAUAACGAUCAGGUCCACAGAGAAAGCAAAAAGGGGAUAGGCCAAAUAUGCACCUGUAUCCUUGCAGGUAAUGAACAUGAAACAAUACUUCCUGCUAUUGGGGGGGCACUCUGAAAUCACCCAAACAAUCCAGAAAGUACAUAAGGUACAAAUAGUCAGACUGGCCCAGAGCCCCUACAGCAGCCUUGUUUGGCCUGUGAAGAAGCCAGGUGAUGCCUGGAAGAUGAUGGUGGAUUACCGCUAGCUGAACAAAGUGGUACGCCCUGUACAUGCAGCUGUAUCCAAUAUUGCUCAACUGCUAGAGCAAGCAGUACCGAAGCUGGGAAGUAUCCAUUCUGUGACUGACUGCAUUAAUACCUUUUCCAGUAUUCUUUCAGCUGAAGAUUCACAAGACCAGUUGGUCUACACUUAGGAGGACCAAGAAUGGACUUUCCAGGUGUCACCACAGGGGCAUCUGCAAAGCCCCGCCAUCUCUCACAGUAUGGUUACACAGGAGCUGUCUAUAAUCUCUUUGCCUGCCUUGGUCUCCCUGUUUCACUAUAUUAAUGAUAACAUGCUACCCUAGAGUCUCUUACAGAUUUGGAGACUAUCCUACAAACUGUUUUGGACAGCCUGAAGGAGGGAUAGAAAAUCAACCCCAAAAAUAUACAGAGGCUUGGCAUGCCUGUCAAAUUCCUGAGAGUUACCUGGUUGGGUAAGAUGUGAAACAUACCCAAAGCCGUCAUUGAUAAGAUAGCAUAGUAGUCUACUCUCCAGACAGUAGAGCAACUCCAGGUUUUCCUAGGUUUACUGGGCUACUGGAGGAUAUUCAUUCCUCAUCUGGCACAAAUACUCCACC